AUAGAACCUUCCAAGGUCAACUCAAGUUACUGUCACUGAUUCCCUACCCUACGCUUCCAUGAGUAAGGGAGGCACCCACAUUACCCCACCUCACUUCUGCACAAUUUUAACAUCUUAAGAGGUCUGCAUUUAGAGGCCACUCCCAUGAGGCUUUGUGAGGGUGUUCACCCAGGAGUCCUGGUUUUCUGUAGCUGUUUCUGUCAUUGUUCCCUCCUCUCCCCUGUCUUGUUGCCCCUACUUUACCCAGUUUGAGAAGGUCCUUUAUACCCUGACCCAGUGAUACUUCUUUCUAGGACUUGGGGUGAGAGGUGGGAAUUAAGGCCCCCAGAACUGGCUCCUGUAAUUCGCAUGCUGGGUUCUAGGGUAAGCCUCCAGGAGAGGAGGAGAGGAUGAUGGGGAUGAGGGUCGGGCAUUUAUGAGUCUUAAAGGGACCGUGGGCUCUCAGAACUUCAGAAUCCAGGACUUGUAGUCCUCGGGAGCUCCUGGAGAACUGGGAUGAAGGUGCACUCAGAUGCAGCAUCCAGGGCUGCUCGUUUGGGGAGGUGGAUCCCACUCUGCACCCUGACCUUGGAUGACUCAAGGGCCCAGCUUCCCCAGGGCCAUGUAUGACCAAGAAGAACAAGUCUGAGGGAGAAUUUGUGGACUGAGGAAUUCAUGGGAGAGUAAACUUGGAGAUUGCAGUUCCCGAGGAUUUCGUGUGGUGAGAGGCUGACAGGCCCUUCCCACUGGACUCUGUGCUUCGCCGUGUGACUUGUUUUGACCAAAGGGAUGUUAACAAACAUGGCACAAGCAGAAGCUUCAUGAGCUUGUGAAUGGAGGCCUGCCCUCUUCAUGGUAUGAGCAGCUCAGAGUGAAAGACCACGUUGGACCCACCUGCUGAAUGCAGCCACAGACUUUAGAAGACUGGCUACAAUUUUACGGUCGGAAGUAGAGAGCCUGCCUUUGUGUGUCCAGAAGUUCUCUCAUUCGUACAAUAAGGAACUUGUUGCUCAGAAUCUGCUGAUGAACAGCCUGGGAAAACACCACCACAAAGA